CUCUAAUUUCAUAAUUAACAUUUUCAGGGUAAGAUGGAUAGGACAUCGCAGUUGCAAGGCUUUCAACAAAAGCCUGGAGAUACAUGAAAUAUUAUAUUGGAGAAAUUCGGCCUCAAGACUACUACAUCAACUCCUGCCUGAGAGCUUCCAGCCACCUGGCUUGCCCUAUGUAUUUCAUACUUGCCAGCCACCAUCAUUAGAUGGGGCCUUACUAUGUUUACACGGCUGGAUUCCACCUUCUGGACUCAAGCUAUCCUCCUGCCUCAGCCCCCUGAGUAGCUGGGACUAUAGGCAUACCUGAUCAUGCCCAACUUUCCUUUUUUGAAUGGGUGAAAAUUGGCCAAUUUUCAAGAUUCAGCUCCUCAAUGAAACCUAUCCUUUUUCAACCACCCAAACUGAUACUGUUUUCUUAUUUAUCUUAAUGCCAUAUUUAUAGUUGGCAUUUGUUAUCAUUCUAUCUUAUAGACAUACUAAGUGAAUGAAUAAAUGAGUGAAUGAUAAAAUGAAUGGAGGUAUUUCACAUUUAAAAAACUGAAUUAGAUCCAUUCUAUUUUAACUCUGAUCGUGACUGUUGAAAGUUAUAAAGCCAAGUCAGCUUUCAAGGUCAAAAGAAAUCAAGGUGAUGUGCAUAUUCUAACUUGCCCAUGGGCACAGCUGCUCCUGGCAGCUGUUAACAGAAACUUCAAAAAGGCUCAUUUCUAACAGAUUUGUGUGAAUUUUUUUUUUGAAAUUGAAAAUGUACAAAGGGAAGACCCAAAUUUUAAAAGGCAAAUUGAAUACGUGUCAAAAUCAGUCUUGGCAGAUACAAGAAAGCCAGUGUUUUAGUCCAUUUUGUGUUGCCAUAAAGGAAUAUUGGAGGCUGGAUAAUUUAUAAAGAAAAGAAGUUUAUUUGGCUCACGGUUCUGCAGGCUAUACAAGAAGCAUUGUGCUAGUGUCUGCUUCUGGUGAGAGCUUCAAGGAGCUUCCACUCAUUGUGGAAGGUGAAGGGGAGCAGGCAUCACAUGGUGAGAGAGGAAGAAAGCAAGAGAGGAGGAAUGUGCCAGGCUCUUUUUCUAACAACCAGCUGGAGAGAACUAAUAGAGUGAGAACUCACUCAUUGCUGCAAGUAUGGCACCAAACUACUAAUAAGGGAUCCACCCUCAUGAUCCAAACACCUCCCACUAGGCCCCACUUCCAACACUGAAGAUCUAAUUUCGACAUGAAAUUUGGAGGAAUAAAUAUCCAAUCUAUAUCAGCUAGAGAAUUCAGAACUAAUCUUGUUAAUCUGCACUGCAUUUCAUUUGGCAAUCACAUGGAGCUGCUUUGUAGAGAAGGUCAUCUCAAGCUUUAAUUACAGACAUAACACACAAGCAAUAAAUCAUUAGAAAAACAAGGUGAAUUUAGAUAGCAGGUACAACUUCUAUGCCACAACUAUCCAGAAAGAAGGAUGCUUGGCUACAUAUACUGGCCAAUCAGAAGAAGAGAGAGCAGGCUAACAAAAUUCUGAAGAUAGCACUGACUCAGCACCAUCAUCCUUGUGGCAUGAGAAUUCACAUACCCAUGGAUUUAGACUGGGAUGCUUGAUUUAAUUCCCCUUUAUAAGGGAUUAAAUUAACCUUGACUAGUUUAGAUCAAUGAAUCUCAGCAAAAGCAGAAUAACCCUUUCAGAAAUUUGAAGAAGCUUUUCUUUUUUUAAAAAAACUGUUUUGAUGAUUUGAUAGAAUUACAGGCAUUAGUAAGCAAGGGUAGGGGAAGGUGAAAGAUGCUAAAAGUCAUACACAAAAUAAUCCUUCAUAAGGAAGAAUUUUUGAGAGUUCUGCAAGACAUUCUAAUAUCCUCCUAGACAUUUGUACAGAAAAUUAUGUAUAAUAAAAAUUGCUACCCACCCAUUAUCACUUAUCUUAACAAUAGUUUUGCUUUAAGUUACAAGUUUGCUUGUAUGGAAUGGCUUCUCAUCUUCUAACUUCUCUUAAAUUUGAAUUUAUUCAUUUUAAAAUAGCAUAACAAUUUAGUUACUUGAGUACGUCUCUAGGUUAGUUGAGACUGAACAUUUACGUAUUGAACCCUAUAUUGUAGUAUUAAAAAUCACAUUAUUUUAUCCUUUGCAUUACAGUUAAAGCAUUAUAUCAAUUUUUUCUGAAUAAAUGAGUAGGCAAUUCUCAUUUUAAGAUAAAGAAGGUGUGAGAAAAUAUUUGUAUUGAAAGGUUAGCACUGAGACUGUUUGAACCGAGACCUACUGUCUUGCAUCAGUUAAUGCCAACAACUGGGUACAUGGCUGACAUAAAACAGAGGCAGCAUAAUAAAAGGCGAAUGACCAAUUUUUCUAUGUGUAUUCUUAGUACUUGUGAUUAAUCAUUUUAAUAAAGAAUUAUAUAAAUAAUUUCUUGUAAAAGAUAAGGUAUUCAAACUACCUUAGUACUUGUGAUUAAUCAUUUUAAUAAAGAAGAAUUAUAGAAAUAAUUUCUUGUAAAAGAUAAGGUAUUCAAACACAGAUGAUCUUAUUGUUGAUUAUUAGUAUGGAGCCCUUGAUAUAGUCUAAAAAUUUAUUUUGUAUAAUAAUAUUUUGGAGCUAUGUACAAUAUUUGAGAAUUAAAGAAUAUAUGUUAUUUUCUUUCUUUCCUUCCUUCCUUCCUUCCUUCCUUUCUUUCUUUUUUGAGAUGGAGUUUUGCUCUGUCACCCAGGCUGGAAUGCAGUUUCACGAUCUCAGCUCACUGCAACCUCCACCUCCCUGGUUCAAGCAAUUCUCUGCCUCAGCCUCCCGAGUAGCUGGGAUUACAGGCGCCCAACACCAGGCUGGCUAAUUUUUUGUAUUUUUAGUAGAGGCAGGAUUUCACCAUCUUGGCCAGGCUGAUCUUGAACUCCUGACCUCAUGAUCCAUCCACCUCAGCCUCCCAAAGUGCUGGGAUUACAGGCAUGAGCCACCACGCCUGGCCUAUGUUUUUGCUUUCUAAACUCUGGUCCAAUGCAAUGAACUUCUAUUUAUUCCUCAGGAUAUGUUGCAACAUAUUAGAGUUAUAUGCAAGCUUUUAUCCUUCUGGGGAGUCGAAUGCUUUUCCAAAGAAUAUUUUAUGCUAAUAAAAUGCGUGUUAUAUCUGCCU
rnacentral:lncRNA from 1 species